AUUGAACGCUGGCGGCAGGCCUAACACAUGCAAGUCGAACGAGUGGCGGACGGGUGAGUAAUGUGUGGGAAACUUACCGAUGGAGGGGGAUAACUACUGGAAACGGUAGCCAAUACCCCAUACUAUCGGAUGUGCCCAGAUGGGAUUAGCUUGUAGGUGAGGUAACGGCGCACCUAGGCGACGAUCCCUAGCUGGUCUGAGAGGAUGACCAGCCACAUUGGAACUGAGACACGGUCCAGACUCCUACGGGAGGCAGCAGUGGGGAAUAUUGCGCAAUGGGCGCAAGCCUGAUGCAGCCAUGCCGCGUGUAUGAAGAAGGCCUUCGGGUUGUAAAGUUCUUUCAGCGGGGAGGCGUUACCAACAGAAUAAGCACCGGCUAACUACGUGCCAGCAGCCGCGGUAAUAC
rnacentral:rRNA from 1 species